rnacentral:rRNA from 1 species
UCGACCGCGACCCCAGGUCAGACGGGACUACCCGCUGAGUUUAAGCAUAUCAAUAAGCGGUGGAGAAG